GGGGAAUCUUCCGCAAUGGACGAAAGUCUGACGGAGCAACGCCGCGUGAGUGAUGACGGCCUUCGGGUUGUAAAGCUCUGUUAAUCGGGACGAAUGGUUCUUGUGCAAAUAGUGCGAGGAUUUGACGGUACCGGAAUAGAAAGCCACGGCUAACUACGUGCCAGCAGCCGCGGUAAUACGUAGGUGGCAAGCGUUGUCCGGAAUUAUUGGGCGUAAAGCGCGCGCAGGCGGCCUAUCCAGUCUGUCUUAAAAGUUCGGGGCUUAACCCCGUGAUGGGAUGGAAACUGCCAAUCUAGAGUAUCGGAGAGGAAAGUGGAAUUCCUAGUGUAGCGGUGAAAUGCGUAGAUAUUAGGAAGAACACCAGUGGCGAAGGCGACUUUCUGGACGAAAACUGACGCUGAGGCGCGAAAGCCAGGGGAGCGAACGGGAUUAGAUACCCCGGUAGUCCUGGCCGUAAACGAUGGGUACUAGGUGUAGGAGGUAUCGACCCCUUCUGUGCCGGAGUUAGCGCAAUAAGUACCCCGCCUGGGGAGUACGACCGCAAGGUUG
rnacentral:rRNA from 1 species